UGUAGUGGGUAUUAUUGUAGGAAUCACGGAGGCCACAGCAGCCGCACUAUUAUACAGACGGCGCUGGCGGCGCCGGUAUUUUCGUAUUCAACGCGACAGGUAGAAUACGAAGCUACGGCGUGUUGUUAUUGCUCCGUCUUCAACGGUUGUCGUGCGAGCUGCGUCGAUGUGUUUGUUUGACCGUGUGUUAUUAGGUUUGCUGUAAUGAAAUGAGACGUAGUUCGCGAGCACGAAAGUGCCAGAAGAUGGCUUGAGUCUCGCUGUAAGCACGCCGUAUGCGUGGCGCUCCAGCUAAAUGUGGACCAACGAUUUUCAUGCCAUGGAGUGCGUUCCCUUUGUCUCCGCUUGUGUUCGUGGAAAGUUUGGUGGACGGCGCAGAGAAGUAAUGCGUAUUAUUAGCGCGCCUCAGCUCGUCCACUACCCAGUGGCUUGUUUGCUGCAAGUAACAUCGCAGACGCAUCACUGGAAACUUGGAGAGUGCCUUUCGACCUCGUCGUACUGUUGAAACGUGGCGAGGCCGUGACCCACAACAUUAACUACAAGAUCGAGGAGCCCCAAGAAAUGCCGACCCUGUGGAUAUAUGGCAGCAGCAGCAUGGCGUGUGAUCUGGAUCGUCAUGACAGGUGUGUAUGAAAUGCUCCACCGUCGCCGUUACUAGACGGACCAAAUGAGGCCAAAAACUAGCCUUUCCUCGCUCCAUUCCUGGGAAGUGAAAUAGCAGGUGGUCAUGUAAGAAUGAACUUGCAACCAUGUGGGCAGUAGCCAAAGCUCCCUACAGUUCAUGCUGGUGGUGGAAUGAUAAGACAAACCGCAAUAUUUAUUUGUUUACUUAUUCACUUAAUAUUUAUUUAUUCAUAUCUCAUGAAUACUGUGCAGUUUUUUUAGCAAGGAGUCAGGUAAAAUAAAGAAAUAUUGUUGCAUCAAAGUAAACGUUAUUUGAAAAAGCAUAAUUCACGUAGCACGAAUUCAUGGAAACUGUAAAUUUUGAAGAAACAGAGCCGUAAGGUUAACAAAUCUUAUAUAACAAAAAAUGAGAUCACAUUUCUGUUGGACCUAAUACCAUAAUUUAAUCUGUCAAAUUAGAGAUACCAUAUGCUGCUCUAAUAUACAAUCACUAAUUUAUGAGUAGAUGCGCGAAACUCUCAAACGUUGCAACAAUUUCAUGCUAGCUGUAAAUUCAUAUAUACAGUUUGUUGACUUUAGACAUAGCAGAUGGAGUCUGCAGAACUAUGAUAUCUCUUUCUGGCACAGAGACGAGCAUUAGUAAGCUUCGUGGUGUUAUUUUUCUUAAACCUGCCAAAUAGUCCUUCCUGCAACAGGUAGAAUUCUCAAAUGCCGCAAACUUAAUUCAAAUUAGUGCUGUGGUUGUCUCAAAAGUAUUUCUGUAUUUUGGAUGUAUUUGAGUAGGAAAAUUUACAGAAUUAACGAACUUGUGCUAGCUCUUUUUUUUAUUUACAGCUGCAAACUAAGUCCUUUUCCUUCAAGUUUUGCUAUUUUCAGCAAAUUUUAAUAAAAAUUGAUGGUGUUAAUCUAAAAACUAUAAUUUAAACAUUUUUAAAUGUAUCAAACCUCAUCAAAUUUGGUUGCAUAGUUGCCGAGAAAAACGAUUUUACUGUUCAUGUGCAUUACAUAGGAGCUCCUGAGCUAGAUCUCUUUUUUAGUCAUUGCGUGUGUCGGUCUGGUUUGUAUUUCUCACCCUAAUUAGAAUAUUGGCUCUGAUCUCAAAAUUGUUUCCCUUACAACGAAAUACAAGCUUUUAAACUUUUUACGAUAUAUGCUGUACUGCUCUAUGAUAACCCCUGUUUGCCACAUUUUUGCAGGGCCUACCAGUGCUAAUUUUACACAUAAACAUAGACUAAAAUGCUGUGUGGUUUCGGUAUAUGGUGUACUUAUCUGUGAAAGCCAUUAUUUGCCACAUUUUUGCAGCGACUGCCAGUGUUAUUUUUGCUCAGACUAAAAUGCUGUGUCGUUUCGUCAGGCUGACACAACAUUGCAGUGCACAUUCAUAUCAGUCUAUUUUCAGGCUUUAGUAUCCAAACAUUUAAUGUGCACUGCUGGAACAGGCACUCCUUUUGCAGUUUUAAUGGUAUGGUUUCUUGUCCUAGUCAAGCCUGUUAUUGCGAGGUGUCAACUGUAAUCAAGUCUGCCACUGAUUCUUUUACCUCAUGUUUCGUGUGUUUGCACCACCAGCUUGACCUGAGAAGCAUGUUGGCAGCUACAGUUUGCGCGUUGCAAGUUCUA